CAGAUGAGUCAUAGCACAAAGUUCUGCAAACCCUGCCACAUAUCUCUUCAUUGUACCUUAAUUCUUUUCAGCAAGUCCCCCUCUUACUGGAGCCCUGGCAUUUUCUUAAAAAGGACUGCCCAAUUGUUUUAAUGUUUCUAUGAUGGAUAGAAAUGACCCCGAGGUUUCAGAAUGAAAGGCAAGUGCAAUCACUUCCUGCAUUGUUUUCCUUUUAGCAAAGCUUCCCGAUGGUUCUGGACAGAUAUUGCUCCUGAGAAAACUCUCUCAACUUUAAAUGUAUUACAAAGAAUGCAUUUGUAUAAAAUGUACUACUGGACAUCUACUGGACAUUAUUUGCUUAUUGGCCAUAACAUACAGUAGUCCUUAAGGAGGAGGAUGUCACAGCUCCCCUGGAACUAAGGGGCUUCAGAGGAAUGUUUCUACAGUUGCAAAGCAGAUGCUGCUUCAUCAGCAGCAGCAAUAGCAGCAGCAACAGGAUCUAGAUGUCUGCUUUUUUUUUUACCAAGUCCCUAAGUUGAAUUUUGUAGUGAUGGCCCAAGAAUUACACUUUGAGAAACACUGAUUUGGAGACAGUCUUUUCUGACCAUAAACUUGUUGGCUUGACAAAUAUCAAGAUGAUGGAUUGAAAUGACCCAAAAUGUUGGUAGAAUGCUUUUGCCUAAAUAACCAGAUACCUCAGUCCCUGAAGUAAUUAUGAUGCAGAAACAAAACCAAUUGAACAAAGUUAGGACAUCUGUCUUCUAAAUAUGGAAAGGAAGUUUCACAAAGCUCUGGACUCUGGCGACAUGCAGCUCUCUGGAAGGAUGCAUUGAAGACAAAACAGAAUAGAGUACACAUCCUCCCAUGUCUUCUGUCUGCGUCACUAUAUUCCUUAAAAGAUAAGUAACCCCAGUCCUUGCCUGUUCCUACAUGUAAGAUAGUGUCUAACCAGGUUAGCGAUUAUGCUUCUGUAAUCUAUAACCAGAUAUAUUCUUGCAUCCAAAAAUCAAUGUGAUUCUGCUUUAAUAUAACUUCUGGGCAAGUUUAAUGUGAUUUUGCAUGUACUGAAUACCCACACCUGUACGUAAACUGUGAACUGAAAUGCUGUGUCGGAGGAGCCUGACAGAAUCUCUCUGAAAGGCUCAUCCUGGGCAGAGCUCCCCAGUCUACAGUUCUCAGUUAGACUUCAGGGUAAAACUAACUUUUGUUCUUUAAAAGCUUGAUUUUUUGCUUCAUUCAACAAUAUGCCUCAUGUUUUCCUGACUUUGGGUAUGUUCUUUCUAAGGUCAUCUGGGACAUCAUCCCCCUAUGAAGCUUUUUUACCAAUAUUCUUCUCCUCGUUACCAGCUAUGGUUUCAAUCACCAUUAAAAUUUCACAGUACUUUAAUCCCUUCUCUGUGUUUCUUACUUUAAUUAACAUCAUGGUAAAUAAUUGUCUUAACCUCAAAAAUUCACUAGAGCGUAAACUUUUUGUGGGCAGAGGCUGUGCUGUCCAUAAUUGAUAUUAUUAAUAGCAGAGAGCCAUGAAAUGCAGAACCAUAUCAUUAAGCAUCAGAUUGAUUUAAUUCCAUUGGACACACCCUCAAAGCACAUACUUUCCCAGCUAAGGUGCAGCUGGUCCAUUUUAAGUGAACAUGCAACAUUUGCUCAGGCACCUUGUUGCCUUUCAUCAUCAACAUCACCAUCAUUAUGUGCACCAUCAAUAAAGACUCACUGAAGGUCUAUAAAUGCAAAGUAUGUCCAAUUUAGUUGAAUUGUAUAUAGUCAGCACAGAUUCAAGACAAAUAAAAACUUUCACCCCAGAAUUUCAUUGGCUCCAAUGGGCAAACUAAGAAUGGUUUGGCAAUACUGACAAUGCAUUUAAAUCACUAGAUGAGAUAUCUAACAUCUGCAACUACUUCUCAUAUUGAUGAAAUGUAGAAGUUUAAGGCACUGCCAUGCUUUUGUUUGGAGAUACAGCUCACUUCUUGUUAGUUUGGCCUUUUUAAUUGCUUUUUUCUUGACCAGCUGGAUAUUGAGCAAUAUACAAUGUAAUAUAAUCAAUAUAAUUGAUUCUCAUUAUUCAUGGUAGUUAUUUUCUAUAAAGUUACCAAAAACUGAAUUAGCAAAUGCUGAACCAUUCCUCCUAGGGAAAAUACAGAAUUAGAUUUCCGCAAGCCUCUGGUCACAAUAUUUUUGGCAACUAAUCAAUACAUAACCUUGUUUUGCAUAUGUUUCUGUUCAAAGACAUCUUAUUUAAUAUAUAUUGUUGAUUCAUUAAGAAUAAACUCACACUCAUGGCAUUAUAAGUCGUUCCCAAAGGAAACUUAUCUAACAUACACAGUUUCUCCAGACAGCACAUUACUGCCUUCUUAUGCUUAGGAACACUCAACAGCACUUUAGCACUACAUGUUGGGGCCAUUUUAAGCAAUGAGAUCACCAAUAAAAAGUAUGAAAAUGCAAAAAAAAAAAUUGCACAAAAUAGACUUUAAAAGAUAUACUUGUUUACAGUAAGAGAGCUAAAAUAUAAAGGUGAAACAUCACCUGGCAUGAUCUCUUAUGGAAAUGUACAAGUUGGGCAAUCAAAUUUUUCACCAUUCUAUGCAUGUCUAUAAAUGACCACAAAGGUGCUGGCAGUAUUGAUUUGGGGAAAACAAAUAAGUUUUAGCAUACAGAUGAACUCAAAAAAUAUAAAAUUUGUGAAUAUGAAGAUUGAUUGGGCUAAGGACUA